UACGAAGGGGGCUAGCGUUGUUCGGAAUCACUGGGCGUAAAGCGCACGUAGGCGGACUUCUAAGUCAGGGGUGAAAUCCCAGGGCUCAACCCUGGAACUGCCCUUGAUACUGGAAGUCUCGAGUCCGGGAGAGGUGAGUGGAACUCCGAGUGUAGAGGUGAAAUUCGUAGAUAUUCGGAAGAACACCAGUGGCGAAGGCGGCUCACUGGCCCGGUACUGACGCUGAGGUGCGAAAGCGUGGGGAGCAAACAGGG
rnacentral:rRNA from 1 species